rnacentral:rRNA from 1 species
CGUGGGUAACCUGCCCAAGAGAUCGGGAUAACACCUGGAAACAGAUGCUAAUACCGGAUAACAACAGAUGAUGCCUAUCAACUGUUUAAAAGAUGGUUCUGCUAUCACUCUUGGAUGGACCUGCGGUGCAUUAGCUAGUUGGUAGGGUAACGGCCUACCAAGGCGACGAUGCAUAGCCGAGUUGAGAGACUGAUCGGCCACAUUGGGACUGAGACACGGCCCAAACUCCUACGGGAGGCAGCAGGC